AGCAGCCGCGGUAAUUCCAGCUCCAAUAGCGUAUAUUAAAGUUGUUGCAGUUAAAAAGCUCGUAGUUGAAUUUCGGGGUCAGUAGGUUGGUCGUGCCACUGGUAUGUACUGGUCUCACUGAUUCCUCCUUCCUGAUGAGCUGUAAUGCCAUUAAUUUGGUGUUGCAGGGAAUCUGGACUGUUACUUUGAAAAAAUUAGAGUGUUUAAAGCAGGCUAACGCUUGAAUACAUUAGCAUGGAAUAAUGAAAUAGGACGUUCGAUCCUAUUUUGUUGGUUUCUAGGAUUGACGUAAUGAUUAAUAGGGAUAGUUGGGGGCAUUAGUAUUCAAUUGUCAGAGGUGAAAUUCUUGGAUUUAUUGAAGACUAACUACUGCGAAAGCAUUUGCCAAGGAUGUUUUCAUUGAUCAAGAACGAAAGUUAGGGGAUCGAAGACGAUCAGAUACCGUCGUAGUCUUAACCAUAAACUAUGCCGACUAGGGAUCGGAUGAUGUUAAUUUUUUAAUGACUCA
rnacentral:rRNA from 1 species